rnacentral:rRNA from 1 species
AGUUGAUCAUGGCUCAGAUUGAACGCUGCGGCAUGCCUUACACAUGCAAGUCGAACGGCAGCACGGGAGCUUGCUCCUGGUGGCGAGUGGCGAACGGGUGAGUAAUACAUCGGAACGUACCCUGGAAGUGGGGGAUAACGUAGCGAAAGUUACGCUAAUACCGCAUAUUCUGUGAGCAGGAAAGAGGGGGAUCGCAAGACCUCUUGCUUUAGGAGCGGCCGAUGUCGGAUUAGCUAGUUGGUGAGGUAAAGGCUCACCAAGGCGACGAUCCGUAGCGGGUCUGAGAGGAUGAUCCGCCACACUGGGACUGAGACACGGCCCAGACUCCUACGGGAGGCAGCAGUGGGGAAUUUUGGACAAUGGGCGCAAGCCUGAUCCAGCCAUGCCGCGUGAGUGAAGAAGGCCUUCGGGUUGUAAAGCUCUUUCGGUGGGGAAGAAAUUGCUUCGGUUAAUACCUGGAGUAGAUGACGGUACCCGCAUAAGAAGCACCGGCUAACUACGUG